rnacentral:siRNA from 1 species
AUUCAGAUUUGCCUCGCUAACAGG